AUUGAACGCUGGCGGCAGGCUUAACACAUGCAAGUCGAGCGGAGUGAUGGUGCUUGCACCGCUGACGAGUGGCGAACGGGUGAGUAAUGCGUCGGAACGUGCCGAGUAGUGGGGGAUAACGCAGCGAAAGUUGUGCUAAUACCGCAUACGUACUGAGGUAGAAAGUGGGGGACCUUCGGGCCUCACGCUAUUCGAGCGGCCGACGUCUGAUUAGCUAGUAGGUGAGGUAAAGGCUCACCUAGGCGACGACCAGUAGCGGGUCUGAGAGGAUGGUCCGCCACACUGGGACUGAGACACGGCCCAGACUCCUACGGGAGGCAGCAGUGGGGAAUUUUGGACAAUGGGCGAAAGCCUGAUCCAGCCAUGCCGCGUGUCUGAAGAAGGCCUUCGGGUUGUAAAGGACUUUUGUCAGGGAGGAAAUCCCUAGUGCUAAUAACACUGGGGGAUGACAGUACCUGAAGAAUAAGCACCGGCUAACUAUGUGCCAGCCGCCGCGGUAACAC
rnacentral:rRNA from 1 species